UCAGCAGUGAGGAAUAUUGGUCAAUGGCCUAACGGCUGAACUGGCAACUUGGAGAAGUGGCAAGUCUUCCAGUAUGGGGAGCAAACAGCUAUGGGUCAAGCCCGACAUCUUUAGGAGAAGUCUUAUUGUGAGGGCGAGUUGUAAAACACCAUAGGGCUGGCCGUCCCAUAUGAAAAGAUUUUAUUAGAAUUGAAUGAAACUUUGUUUAUAUAUUGAUAAUGACAGUAUAUAUAUCGUGUCUUGACUAAUUGCGUGCCAGCAGUCGCGGUAAUACGUAAGAGACUAGUGUUAUUCAUCUUAAUUAGGUUUAAAGGGUACCCAGACGGUCAAUAUAGCUUAUAAAAUGUUAGUACUUGACUAGAGUUUUAUGUAAGAGGGCAGUACUUGAGGAGGAGAGAUGAAAUUUCGUGAUACCAAAGGGACUCUGUAAAGGCGAAGGCAGCCCUCUAUGUAAAAACUGACGUUGAAGGACGAAGGCACAGAGAACAAACAGGAUUAGAUACCCAAGUAGUCUUUGCAGUAAAUGAUGAAUGCCAUAGGUUAGAUUAAUAGUUAAUGUAUAUAGGCUAGUAUAAUAGACUAUACAUUAAAAAUUAUUUGGUCUAUAAAUGAAAGUGUAAGCAUUUCACCUCAAGAGUAAUGUGGCAACGCAGGAACUGAAAUCACUAGACCGUUUCUGACACCAGUAGUGAAGUAUGUUAUUUAAUUCGAUGAUCCGCAA
rnacentral:rRNA from 1 species